UACGGAGGGGGCGAGCGUUGUUCGGAAUCACUGGGUGUAAAGGGUGCGUAGGCGGUCCGUUAAGUCUGAUGUGAAAUCCCUGGGCUCAACUCAGGAAUGGCAUUGGAAACUGGCAGGCUAGAGUACGGGAGGGGGAAGCGGAAUUCCAGGUGUAGCGGUGGAAUGCGUAGAUAUCCGGAGGAAUACCGGUGGCGAAGGCGGCAUCCUGGACCGAGAUUGACACUGAUGAGCGAAAGCUAGGGGAGCAAACGGG
rnacentral:rRNA from 1 species